AUGAUGUCGCUUGCAUGGCCAUACAAGAAACUGAAGGUCAUCAACAAGGCAUCAGCAACACCUAACACAUCACCUAACAUUUCAGGAAAUGGACAAUGUUAGUAUCAGAUCAUGUUACAACCAACCGUGGACAUGGUUCUUCGGUCUUGCAUUUCUUUUGGAGCUUUUGUUGCGUAUGUUGCGUACAACAACGUGAAGGAAUUGAGUUAUUGUAAUACUAGCUUUUGUGUUAUGUAAUGUGAUAUUGCAACCUAUGGACUAGUUCGAUG